GGAUGUCCUGGGCGCCAGGGGCUCUGUGGGGAAGGAGGGCCAGUCGGCCCAGGUGGCUCAUGGUGGGUCACUGGGGAGGGUGUGACAGAGCUGUCCUGUGGCCGUGCCGGGAAAGAAGGAGACCAUGUGGAUUCAUGGUGGGGAAAGGGGGCUGGAGGCAGGAGCACCCAGGCCUUGGGUGGUCAACCAAGGUGCAGACAGGAGGGUCCUGGCUGAAGCUGAGGGCACUGCUUCUGGCUUUCAUGGAACCUUCUGGGACUAUACUGAGCCCCCUCCUGGCCCCAGGGACCUUUAAUGAAUUUGCCUGCUCCAAGAUGACCUGUGCGAGGGGACUGCAGCCUCUUUAGGGUGACAAGUCCCAGCCGCCCCUGUGGGGUUUCAUAGGAGGAACUGAUGGCUGCCCUGACGGUCACUACGCAGUCGCCGGCACCUUGUCCACCCCACUGGGCUGGGGCUCCUCCACCUUGAAGCCCCGCGUGUCUGUGGACGAGACCCGCUUCUUGGCUCCUUUCCGCCCAGUCCUUCCCUGACACUUGGGACGGAGGUGCAAAGAGAGACCCCACAACUGAAUGAAUGCUUUGAAGGUGCCAGGCCCGCCAGGAGCGCACAGGAGAGCAACUCACAACAGAAGGAGAGACGGCUCGCAUCUUGGAGGCAUCGCCCUUCUGGUGCAUCAGCAGGGGCUGCAGGCUCCAACAGGCAGCCUGGUGGGCGGUGUGCCUUGGGAGAGGGAGCCAGCCCUCCAGGGCCUGCUUCAGACACCCACUGCUGGCGGCUGCCAUGGGAAGCCCUGUUUGUUCUGUGUUCAGGUCAUCUCUGUGGAGCCCUUGGGGUGCUGGGGAAAGAGAGUGGAUGAGGGAGCUCAGUCUCCAGUCCCCCCAGCUUUCCCACCCACCCUCAGGCCUGGGUUCAGGUUUGAGUGGGGUGGUCCUGGCCAGGCUAUGAACUACCUGAGGUGGGGACCAACGCCCACCCUGGUGAUACCCCUGAAGGCAGGGCACCUGUUACCUUGUGGGGACUCGCCUCCAAUUUCCUCUCUUUGUCCCUGCCCUGGCACAGCCUGGUACAUGUCGGCGAGUCAGCUUAGAUUUCCUCGUGGAUGUUUGGAGGGACGCCUGGCUCCUUGCAGGGGCUGAGGCUCCUAGAGACGCUUCAAGCCCAAAGAGUCCACCUGUCCCAUCAGGUGUGAGCCAGGUCUGCUAGACUCCAAACCAUCACCCCCUGCCUGUGGCCUGGCCUGCCCAUUUGAGGUUAGUGGAAGCUGGGACAGUCACCUUUGAUUCCGGAGAAAUAUGGGAGGAAGUUAAACGGUGACCUCCCUUGGAGAGGAAUAAGAGCCCCCUCUUUGGCAAAAGCUGUGGGGAUCUUUCGCUCAUUUUCUAAAACACAGUUUUAUUGAGAUUUGAUUCAUAUGGCCUAAACUGUGUCCUUCCAAAACUCAUGUUGAGGCCCUCAUCCCCAGUCCCUCAGGACGUGACUGUAUUUGGAAAUAGGACUUUAGAGAGGUGAUUAAGUUAAAAUGUGGCCAUGAGGGUGGGCUCCAAUCUAGUAAGAUUUGUUUGUGGUUUUUUUUUUUUUUUUUUUUUUGAGACAGUCUCACUCUGUCGCCCAGGCUGGAGUGCAGGGGCCCCGUCUUGGCUCACUGCAACCUCCGCCUCCUGGGUUCAAGCAAUUCUCUGCCUCAGCCUCCCAAGUAGCUGGGGUUACAGGCACCCGCCACCAUGCCCGGCUAACUUUUUGUAUUUUUAGUAGAGACGGGGUUUCACCAUCGUGGCCAGGAUGGUCUUGAACUCCUGACCUCGUGAUCCACCCGCCUCGGCCUUCCAAAGUGCUGGGAUUACAGGCGUGAGCCACCGCGCCCGGCCUCCAAUCUAGUAAGAUUGAUGUUCUCCUGAGAGAAGGAGAUUUGGACUCACAGAGAAACCGCAGAGAUGCCCACAGGCAGAGGAAGGACCAUGUGGCACCAGGCACCAGGAGAAGGUGGCCGUCUGCAACUCAAGGCCAGAGGCCUCAGAAGAAAUCGACCCUGUGGUCUGGGCACAGUGGCUCAUGCCCAUAAUCCCAGUAAUUUGGGAGGCUGAGGCGGGAGGAUAGCUUGAGCCCAGGAGUUCAAGACCAGCCUGGGCAAUAUGGCAAAACCCCAUCUCUACAGAAAGUACAAAAAUUAGCCAGCUGUGGUGGCACACACCUGUAGUCCCAGCUACUCGGGGGCUGAGGUGGGAGAAUCGCUUGAGCCUGGGAGGAAGAGGCUGCAGUGAGCCAUGAUUGCACCACUGCCAGUGAGACAGAGUGAGACCCCGUCUCAAAAAAACAAAAGAAGAAACCAACCCUGCUGACACCUUCUCUUAGACUUCCAGCCUCCGGAACUGUGAGGAAAUACAUUUCUGUUGUUGAAGGCACCCUGCCUGUUGUAUUCUGUUAUAGUAGCCCUGGCAAAUGAAUCCACCAUGUGACUCACCCAUUGUGGUUUUGGCAGGUGGUUUUUGGCAUAUUCACAGAUAUCUGCAAUCAUCACUUAAGUCAACUUUGGAGCAUUUCAUCACCUUGGAAAAAACUCAAGCCCUUGUGCCCUUUAGCUAUCAUCUCAGCUACGGUUUGAAUGUGACCCCGAAGGCAUGUGUUGGACACGUAAUCCCCUAAUGCUUGUUUUAAGUAAGUGCUGUGAGUCAUUUCAAGGGAAAAGUGACAGCAGCAGCAGCAAGACCUUAAUGUUACUCAGCAACUGCAGAGAUGGGCAGGCGGGGUGGCAGGGGUGGCGGUUCUGGGACAGUUUCUAAAAGCAGAGUCCUGGGAACUUUUUUUUUUUUGUAUUUUUAUGAAGACGGUUUCACCAUGUUGGCCAGGCUGGUCUCGAACUCCUGACCUCAAGUAAUCUGCCUGCCUUGGCCUCCCAAAGUACUGAGAUUACAGGCGUGAGUCACCAUGCCUUGGAGUCCUGGGAACUCCUGAGUCAGUCUCAAAGGAAAAUGGGCAAGGCCAGAGUUGGCUUGGAGGAGAAUGUAGGGUCGAGGGUAGACAGGGACAGCUGGCCCCCCCUCCCGUCUCCUGCUGGACAUUCCAAAUACAGAAACGCUUAAAUGCUCCAUCCUCCAGCUCUUACCCACAGAGCUUGAAAGACCACCAAUUAGUGGUCCACCCUUGCUAAAGGGUAAUUUUUAAAUUUUAUUUUAAAAGUUUUUUUUUUUUUUUUUGCUGGGUGUGGUUGCUCACGCCUGUAAUCCCAAAACUUUGGGAGGCUGAGGUGGGCAGAUCAUGAGAUCA
ensembl:lncRNA